rnacentral:rRNA from 1 species
UACGAAGGGGGCUAGCGUUGCUCGGAAUCACUGGGCGUAAAGGGCGCGUAGGCGGCGUUUUAAGUCGGGGUGAAAGCCUGUGGCUCAACCACAGAAUGGCCUUCGAUACUGGGACGCUUGAGUAUGGUAGAGGUUGGUGGAACUGCGAGUGUAGAGGUGAAAUUCGUAGAUAUUCGCAAGAACACCGGUGGCGAAGGCGGCCAACUGGACCAUUACUGACGCUGAGGCGCGAAAGCGUGGGGAGCGAACAGG